rnacentral:rRNA from 1 species
AACGAACGCUGGCGGCAGGCUUAACACAUGCAAGUCGAGCGCCCCGCAAGGGGAGCGGCAGACGGGUGAGUAACGCGUGGGAAUCUACCCAGCUCUACGGAAUAACUCAGGGAAACUUGUGCUAAUACCGUAUACGUCCGAUAGGAGAAAGAUUUAUCGGAGUUGGAUGAGCCCGCGUUGGAUUAGCUAGUUGGUGGGGUAAAGGCCUACCAAGGCGACGAUCCAUAGCUGGUCUGAGAGGAUGAUCAGCCACACUGGGACUGAGACACGGCCCAGACUCCUACGGGAGGCAGCAGUGGGGAAUAUUGGACAAUGGGCGCAAGCCUGAUCCAGCCAUGCCGCGUGAGUGAUGAAGGCCCUAGGGUUGUAAAGCUCUUUCACCGGUGAAGAUAAUGACGGUAACCGGAGAAGAAGCCCCGGCUAACUUCGUGCCAGCAGCCGCAGUAAAAC